UACGUAGGGUGCGAGCGUUAAUCGGAAUUACUGGGCGUAAAGCGUGCGUAGGCGGCUGUGCAAGACAGAUGUGAAAUCCCCGGGCUUAACCUGGGAACUGCAUUUGUGACUGCAUGGCUAGAGUGUGUCAGAGGGAGGUGGAAUUCCGCGUGUAGCAGUGAAAUGCGUAGAGAUGCGGAGGAACACCGAUGGCGAAGGCAGCCUCCUGGGAUAACACUGACGCUCAGGCACGAAAGCGUGGGGAGCAAA
rnacentral:rRNA from 1 species